GACGAACGCUGGCGGCGUGCUUAACACAUGCAAGUCGAGCGGAGCGGCGAACGGGUGAGUAACGCGUGAGUAACUGCCCCCCUCCCUGGGAUAACAGUUGGCAACGGCUGCUAAUACCUGAUAGUGGGGGAUGACUCGCGUCCUAUCAGCUUGUUGGUGGGGUAGUGGCCUACCAAGGCGACGCCGGGUAGCCGGCCUGAGGGGGGGAACGGCCACAUGGGGCUGAGGUACGGACCAGACGGCUACGGGGGGCAGCAGGGGGGAAUAUGGCACAGUGGGGGAAACCCUGAUGCAGAGACGCCGCGUGCGGAAUGGCGGCCUUCGGGUUGUAAACCGCUUUCAGCCAUGACGCGGUAGUGGCAGAAGAAGCACUGGCUAACUACGUGCCAGCAGCCGCGGUAAUAC
rnacentral:rRNA from 1 species